rnacentral:lncRNA from 1 species
AUCUGCCAUAAGGCCAUCCACCAUAAUCCCAUCCUCCACAAUGUCAUCGUCACAAUGCCAUCCACCAUAAUGCCAUCCACCAUAAUGCUAUCUGCCAUAAGGGCCUUACCAGAGACAAGACAAUGCCAGUGCCAGGCCAAUGCUAGUACCAUGCCCUGAACCUCCACAACUGUGAGUUAAAUACAUCUCUUUUCCUUAAAAAGUAUCCAGGCUAAACUAUUUUAUUAGAGUAGCUAAAAACAGACAAAUACAACAGAUAAACAGAUAUUGAGAUUGUCAAAGACUUAAAAAUAUACACCUAUAUUCCAUGAAAUAAAGAUAAACACUACAAGGGAAUGAAAAGAGAGAGCUUCUCAGCACAAGAACAGAAACUACAAAAAAGAAACAAACAAAAGCUUCUGAACUGAAAAUUCCAACUGAAAUUUACAAUUCCUUGCACAGAUUCAACAACAAAAUAAAGAAGAUUCAAAAUAAAGAAUAGAUGAACAUGAAGAUAGACCAAUGGAAAUUAUCUAAUCUGAACAAUAGAGGACAUAAAUGUACAGAUUCAAAAAAUUCCAGUCGCGCAGAAGACAGCGAAUCACCCCGCUGCAGACAGGCAGGUCUGCCCACACCCUACCUAGGUCCCCAGUCAGGCGGAACACAUACCGAAUCAGCCAGCUGCAGACAGGCAGGUCUGUGCACGCCCUACCAAGGUCCUGAGUCCCACGGAAGACACCGAAUCACCCCGCUGCAGACAGGCAGCCACCUAGUUCCACACUACAAAGACGCAGAGGACACCAGACCACCAGACCAAGGUCAGAGACAGAGGAUAUCAGAGAUUCAAAACAUGAGAAGGAUCUGAUACACCCUUCUGGCUUAAAGACAAAGGAAGACACAUGGCUAGAAGUGUAGGUGGCCUCUAGGAGCUGAGAAAGCAUCUAUGACAGCCACGCAGGAAAUGGUGGCCUCGUACUCUGGAGAUUCAGUGGAUUCAGCUCCCAGAUGAGAACUCGGUGCAGCCCAUACAGUGUUGAUUGCUUUGUGAACAGAACCAAGCCAUGCCAGACUUCUGAGCUCCAGAAAUGUGAACUAAUCCCAGGUGUUAUUUCAAGUUCCUAAAUGCAUGAUACGUUGUUACACAGGAGUAGAAAACUAACAUAAUCAUAUAUAGCUUUCCAAAUCCAUGCAGAUAAAUAUUUCUAAUUCUUUUUUAAGACUGCAUAUGUAUUACUUUGUCAUUACUUUAAUGCAUCAAAAUAUAUUCAAAUAUAUUCCUAUUUCUAGAAAUCCACCUGGCUUUUAUUUCUUGUUAUUUUUAAAUAAUCCAGAAAACAUCUUUAUGCAUUUGCCUUGAUAUAUCUAUCCUAUUUCCCCCCAUAAGACAGAUUGUUA